GUGGGGAAUAUUGGACAAUGGGCGAAAGCCUGAUCCAGCCAUGCCGCGUGUGUGAAGAAGGUCUUCGGAUUGUAAAGCACUUUAAGUUGGGAGGAAGGGCAGUAAGUUAAUACCUUGCUGUUUUGACGUUACCGACAGAAUAAGCACCGGCUAACUUCGUGCCAGCAGCCGCGGUAAUACGAAGGGUGCAAGCGUUAAUCGGAAUUACUGGGCGUAAAGCGCGCGUAGGUGGUUUUGUAAGGUGGAGGUGAGAUCCCCGGGCUCAACCUGGGAACUGACUCCAAAACUGCAUGACUAGAGUACGGGAGAGGAGAGUGGAAUUUCCUGUGUAGCGGUGAAAUGCGUAGAUAUAGGAAGGAACACCAGUGGCGAAGGCGACUACCUGGACUGAUACUGACACUGAGGUGCGAAAGCGUGGGGAGCAAACAGGAUUAGAAACCCCAGUAGUCC
rnacentral:rRNA from 1 species